rnacentral:rRNA from 1 species
GACGAACGCUGGCGGCGUGCUUAACACAUGCAAGUCGAACGGAAAGGCCCUGCUUUUGUGGGGUGCUCGAGUGGCGAACGGGUGAGUAACACGUGAGUAACCUGCCCUUGACUUUGGGAUAACUUCAGGAAACUGGGGCUAAUACCGGAUAGGAGCUCCUGCUGCAUGGUGGGGGUUGGAAAGUUUCGGCGGUUGGGGAUGGACUCGCGGCUUAUCCGCUUGUUGGUGGGGUAGUGGCUUACCAAGGCUUUGACGGGUAGCCGGCCUGAGAGGGUGACCGGCCACAUUGGGACUGAGAUACGGCCCAGACUCCUCCGGGAGGCAGCAGUGGGGAAUAUUGCACAAUGGGCGGAAGCCUGAUGCAGCAACGCCGCGUGCGGGAUGACGGCCUUCGGGUUGUAAACCGCUUUCGCCUGUGACGAAGCGUGAGUGACGGUAAUGGGUAAAGAAGCACCGGCUAACUACGUG